CUGGCCAUCUUACAUGGAGUGAGUCUGCCAAGAACAAGGCUAAGAAGCAAAUGAUGUCAUGAAAUGCAGAAAUAGAAUACUGACAAUAUUGUUUUUAAAACCUUGGAUUUUCAAUUAUAUGCCCAAUUCUAACCAUGAAGGGUGGGCCUUCAUGGGAGCCUGGUAUUAGUGUCCUUCCUCAGAGAGCCUAUCACAGUGAGGUGUGAACUCUGGCCUCAUAUUUAGAGAAAAGAGACACCUGGAAGAUCUCUCAUUAACAACUGAACCUCAACCUGGAAAUGACAUAGAUUAUAUCUGCUCACACAACUCACUGUUUAAACCCAGUCAUGGCCAACCAGAGAGGAAUCAGGGAGUAUAAGCCUACUGUGAAUCUGGGAGAAGAGCUGGAAAUAUUCUAUUUGGACUGUCUGAAGGCAUACACUGUGUUUGCAAUAUUUUCAUCUGGUGUCGCACCUGGUACGUCAUAAUUGUACAGUGAAUGUAUUUUGAUGGAUGGCAUCUUGUAAAAUACUGUGUAGCUGGCAGGCAAUGACUAAAUGCUACCUACUG
rnacentral:lncRNA from 1 species